GGGUGAAGAAGGCCUUCGGGUUGUAAAGCCCUUUUGUUGGGAAAGAAAAGCAGUCGAUUAAUACUCGGUUGUUCUGACGGUACCCAAAGAAUAAGCACCGGCUAACUUCGUGCCAGCAGCCGCGGUAAUACGAAGGGUGCAAGCGUUACUCGGAAUUACUGGGCGUAAAGCGUGCGUAGGUGGUUGUUUAAGUCUGUUGUGAAAGCCCUGGGCUCAACCUGGGAAUUGCAGUGGAUACUGGACGACUAGAGUGUGGUAGAGGGUAGUGGAAUUCCCGGUGUAGCAGUGAAAUGCGUAGAGAUCGGGAGGAACAUCCAUGGCGAAGGCAGCUACCUGGACCAACACUGACACUGAGGCACGAAAGCGUGGGGAGCAAACAGGAUUAGAUACCCUGGUAGUCCACGCCCUAAACGAUGCGAACUGGAUGUUGGGUGCAAUUUGGCACGCAGUAUCGAAG
rnacentral:rRNA from 1 species